AUGCGUGCAGGCAUAGAGGUCUUUCCGUUGGCAGUGCACAGGAACUAUAGGUGGCACAUUAUAAAGAAGGCUGAGGAGACGCUAGGACCGUUCUUUGCUGACCGUCCAGAGCUGCACAAGGCAUUCGAGCUGUGCGUGGACCACAGCUUGACGGUGAAGGAGUUUGAAAGGAGCUGCAUGGCCAUGAUUGAAACACAUCAAGUCCAAGACAACGAGACGCUUGCUAACCUGUGGGAGAAGCGAAUGUACUGGGUGCCGGCCUACUUCAUGCAGUGCUUCUUCCCAUUUCUGCAGACUACGCAGCGCAGCGAGGGGUUCAAUGCUGUUUUGAAGCGGUACGUCAGCCCUGGCAACUCAUUGCUACAGUUUGCCAAGCAGUACACAACUUUGCAACAAAAAAUUCUGGGAUCUGAGCUACAGCAAGAAGCGACCACAGCACUAAAGCAUCCAAAAUUGCUAAUGUAUUUACCGAUGGAGAGGCAAAUGAGCAAGAUAUACACCAACAAGAUCUUUAACAAGUAA
rnacentral:rRNA from 1 species